rnacentral:ribozyme from 1 species
AGUAAAAAUUAAAUUACUGCCCAAAUUUACUUUUUAUUUUUUGUUUCCUUUUAUUAUAUAUUUUAGCUUGUUUCGCUUUUGUAACUGCUUAAUAAAAAUGCGACUGCU